GAUGAACGCUGGCGGCGUGCCUAAUACAUGCAAGUCGAGCGAACAGACGAGAGUGCUUGCACUCUCUGACGUUAGCGGCGGACGGGUGAGUAACACGUGGGUAACCUACCUAUAAGACUGGGAUAACUUCGGGAAACCGGAGCUAAUACCGGAUAAUAUUUAGCUUCGCAUGAAGCAAUAGUGAAAGACGGUUCUGCUGUCACUUAUGGAUGGACCCGCGGUGUAUUAGCUAGUUGGUGAGGUAACGGCUCACCAAGGCAACGAUACAUAGCCGACCUGAGAGGGUGAUCGGCCACACUGGGACUGAGACACGGCCCAGACUCCUACGGGAGGCAGCAGUAGGGAAUCUUCCGCAAUGGACGAAAGUCUGACGGAGCAAUGCCGCGUGAGUGAAGAAGGUUUUCGGAUCGUAAAACUCUGUUGUAAGGGAAGAACAAGUACGUUAGUAACUGAACGUACCUUGACGGUACCUUACCAGAAAGCCACGGCUAACUACGUG
rnacentral:rRNA from 1 species